rnacentral:rRNA from 1 species
AGUGAACGCUGGCGGUAGGCCUAACACAUGCAAGUCGAACGGCAGCACAGUAAGAGCUUGCUCUUACGGGUGGCGAGUGGCGGACGGGUGAGGAAUACAUCGGAAUCUACUUUUUCGUGGGGGAUAACGUAGGGAAACUUACGCUAAUACCGCAUACGACCUACGGGUGAAAGCAGGGGAUCUUCGGACCUUGCGCGAUUGAAUGAGCCGAUGUCGGAUUAGCUAGUUGGCGGGGUAAAGGCCCACCCAGGCGACGAUCCGUAGCUGGUCUGAGAGGAUGAUCAGCCACACUGGAACGGAGACACGGUCCAGACUCCUACGGGAGGCAGCAGUGGGGAAUAUUGGACAAUGGGCGCAAGCCUGAUCCAGCGAUACCGCGUGGGUGAAGAAGGCCUUCGGGUUGUAAAGCCCUUUUGUUGGGAAAGAAAAGCAGCAGGUUAAGACCCCGCUGUUCUGACGGUACCCAAAGAAUAAGCACCGGCUAACUUCGUG